AAAAUAUAUUUAUAACCGUAACCGGUGAUUAAUAAACCGUAACCGGUGGUUAAUAAACCGUAACCGUAAUAACGGUAACCGUGGUCAUGCCUACUCCAAAUCUCCGCUUCACUCUCUCUUACCAUGGACGCUCUCAUUACUCAGUUACAGGAGAGUCCUGAUCAACAAUGCCACUGAACCGGAAAUUUGAAUCCGGCGUGCCAUCUUUUGAUCUGCAUGCCACUCUUGUAGUGGAUAAUACCUAUUUACCCUUAAUGAAUUAUAUCAAUUAAUUUUAAAAGAAAAAUCAAAAACAAAAU
rnacentral:sRNA from 1 species